GUCCUCGUGGAUGAGGGAACUGAUGAAAACGGUGUGUACAGAAAUCAUCACUCCAGUGACGAACAGUCAGGGUGAGAAGAAGAAGCUCCCCUACCCCAGGAACCACUGGAAGAAUUGCCCGCCUUUGAGGGAGAAGAAGAGGCUCUGUCUGACACUGAGGCACAAACAGUAGUCAUGCAAAGUUCUAUGUGUUAUGACAUCGACACUCCACCAAUGAACAAUCAGGUUUCUAUGUAUUAUGAGGUGAACACUCCACCAAUAAGCAAUCAGGUUGAAGAAGAUGGGAGAGCCACCAGAUUCCGGGUUCCUGGUGGGAAUGAGGGCUGGGGCUGUAGAGCAAGCGACUCUUGCCCAGUGAGGAGCAGUGCCAAGUACUGUGGUCCUGGAAGACACUACGUCACUGCAUCUCUGGGCAUCUUUGCUGGAGACGAAGUGGAGAUGCACCUGCUUUGGGGAGGUGGCUGGCGAGAAAGAGAGCGAAUGCGGGCCCCGCCCCGUGAGGCAAAGCUCACUUCCUGAUGGAGGAUGGGGCUGUGUGGCCUGAUUCUCUGUGGAGCUCCUGAGUCGAUGCCUCCCACCCAAAAAAUCACAGGUUAAAAGGUAAGAAAGAGGAUAACGGAAGUAGCCCAUGUGUAUCUAUUAAAAUAAUUAGCGCUGUUGCCCAAACUCAGCAUUUGCCCACGGGUGCCAAAUAGAAACAAGGAGACAAGAGUCUUGGGUGUAGAAGGAAAAAGAUAUCUUUUAUUGCUUUGCCGGGUAAAGGAGGCCACAGCAGGCUC
rnacentral:lncRNA from 1 species